UGUUAAAUAUAUUGUUUAAACAUGGCAAUAAGGUUAACCAACUGGCUGAUAACCCUCAUCUGAUUUGCUAAAAAGUCACACUGAUAGGUACUUUGUGUUCCCUUUAAGCACUAGUUUGUUAGCACAGCAGCAUUGAAGAAAACUUCAAUUUUGGAAUAGUCACAUAGCAAAACAUACAAACAAAGUGAUCAAUGCUUCUGCAGUGUGGUGGAUAUUUACUUUUUUUUUUUUAAAGGGACACUGUAGGCACCCAGACCACUUCAUCUCAUUGAAGUGGUCUGGGUACAAUGUCCCAUGUCCCUUAACCCUCAUCUGAGAAACUGCAAUAAUUACCUCUGAGGGUUAACUCCACCUCUAGUGGUUGUCUACCAGACAGCCACUAGAGGGACUUCCGGAAUCAAAACGGCCCUUUGGUUCAUUAUAUGACGCUGGACACCUCACGCUCUGCAUGAGGACCACCAGUGUCAGAUUUUCCCCAUAGGAAAGCAUUGACGGGCAGGCACAUUAGGUCUCCCAUGCCGGCUGGCAUUUGCUGGGAAGGAGCGUGGGCGGAGUCUGACUCAGCACAGAGGGACAUCAGCGCUUGAUUCAGGUAAGUGACUGAAGGGAUUUUAACCCCUUCAGCACCGUGAGAGUGGGGCACUACAGAAGCCUAUAGUGCCAGGAAAACAAACCCGUUUAGAAUCCCUUUAAAUGAACACUCCAAGUAUCCUAUCCUGAGCUCUGCAAUGUGAGUCUCUGACAGUGAGCUUUUUGACUCUCUGGCUGAUGGUAGUGGAGGCAAGGAGGGGUGUCUGAUACACCCCAAGUAAGAAAUCAAACCAUUCUAAAACAGUUUGAUUACUUAGUAUGGGGAGUGUAAGGCACUAUUGGUACUAUAUCCACUACAGCAUGCUUGGAGUUAUUCUUUAAUCUUUCAUUGGUUGACUCUACAAAAAUACUCAAAGAGUGCUCGUUGGUCUCAACAUUCACAUUAAGAAUGACUGUAACUUUCAUUAGUCAUUAUUUGCAAGUUUAAGGUAUUAAAAUAGAGCUAGUAUGACACGUGAGAAUUUUAUUGUCUGUUUGCUGGAUUGUGGGAGUUUUUUUCUUCUCAUCUUUACAUUUUGGCAAAUUAAGCUAAAGGUUUUAGCUGUUUACCUACCACAGCCUGGCAAAUUUAUGCAUCCACCAGGACAGUUGAUACUCUCAUUAGUCACAAAACAGACCCGUGAUUUCUAGAACCAUCAGCAAUUUUUUCAUAUAUUCUUGUUUCCUAUACAGCACAGAAGCAGGUUGGUUUAUUUUAUCGCUAGUCAUACAUCUCCAAAUGAUUUAGCGAUGGAAACAUAUUCAUAAUGUCACCACCUGCUGUUUGUAAUUGAUAAGGACAUGUCAGACUUGACUAACCCCAGGCGUCUUGCAAUAGUUUUUCUCUAUGAAUAGGUCAGAAAAAUGUGAAUAAGAUGAAAAUAACAUGAUUAAAAAUCAAUAACUUUAAGUUUAGUUCAAUGCCUGAAGUUGUAGAAAAAAACAAAAAAUUGUUUCCUCACACAUUUUAUCUUUUCAACACACAAUAGUUUUUUUUUCAAAAGACACAACUCGUCUAUUUCUCAUUCCAUCUGCCAUCCUCUGCUCCAACAUCAAUCAAUGAUCUUAGAGACCACUAUUCAUCCUUAAGCUAGAUAUUGAACUAUUGUCCUAAACAAACUUUACUUUUGGUGCCUUCUGCCUCCUUCCACAAUUGAUUGCAUUGUAUAGAUAAUGCCUAAAUUGCCUUGCUCAAAAUAGAUAAGAGAUACUCAUCAAACUAGGUCAUUUUCUUGGAGGUCACUCUCAUGUCCUAAAUUCCCAUAUGGAGACAUUCAAACCAUGCUUGAUUCUCCCAGCCAAAACCUGAACUCCUAUUUAAAUCAAGAGACACACAUGUUCUCCAUAGAAAUAAACGUCAAAUAUUUCAAAGAAAAGACAUGUAAUGACUCCGCUAUACAUCAGCUCCUGCUGAAUUAUUCAUGCCUAUUAAAUUGAGCAUGUGGCCGGAGGAAGUUGUGUAGAUGUCAAAGAAAAAAAGAACAACAUAUGUCUUGUUAGUCAUGUUUGAUGUAAUGACUCAAAAUUAACUCAAAUUAGUUAAAAUAUACUGGGAUAAGAGGAAAAAAACAACAAGAGUUCUGAUGUGCACCAGAAAACACAGCAUUAACUCUCAUAGUGUCCCAGCUACAACCAGAAUCAUCAACUGCAGGACCCUUCAGUUAACUGAGAUAAGUUGUCCAUUCUAUUCAACCAUAUGAACAUGCUGGACCUCCAUCUAGUGUUGGGUUCUAUGUAUCACACUCUCGACAUGCAAAGACUGAUGUUGCCACUCAAGUAUGUGUUUACUUUUACCAACCUUAGAGACUUAUUUCAAGAUUUACUACAUUCUGCAUCCUGCAAAUAUAGUCCUUGGAAGGUAAUUAAAGACAAAUCCUUGUAUUUGCCAUGGGCAGUACAAAAAGUGCCAAUUUCAGUGAGAAUUUAUUAGUAGAUGCCAAGUUAACACAUAGGAAUAAGCUAGUUUUAGGCUCAGUAAUGUUUAUUACAGAAUUGCAAAUUCGAGACAUGGAACAUAUGUUUCCAAAUCAGAAGACAUAUAUUUUUAAUUUUUUUCAAUUGAUAUUAAAUAAAAAUAAAAAAAGAUUAAUGCAAUUUCAUUUUCUCUUGAAAACGCUGCUGCUUUUUUUUUUCUCAAUAACUUUAUUUCCCAACCACUUGGUUUACAUUUGAACUAUUUAUCUGAGAUGACAUCACCCAGGAUUCCAUACUGUUAACCAUCAGGCAAAUCCUCUUCUAUUAUUAUAGUACUGGAACUUUGUGCAUCAUGAAAAAGUUAAUAAACCAAUAUUUCCUUAAGGUUUCCCUGACACCUUGUCAAAAAACAAAGCAGUUUAAUGACAUUUAGUUGCUAUUUAACACCUUUGACGUCAUCUAUCCAAUGAAAGAUACAUAUUUGAGGUUACUCACUAAACUAAACAACUAGAGAAUUGCAAAGUUUAAGACAAAAUACUUGUGAUGGUAAAAUGGACAAGUUGGAGAUAUUUUUUUUCACAGUUUAACUGUUUUGGCACAAAAUCUACAAUGUCUUUACAAUUCUACAAAAUGUCACUUUAGUAAAUAACCUUAAUCAAGAACUCUUAUCACCGUUGAUACUUCUCACUCUUGCCCAAGUUUAAUAAAAUUUACAAGUAUAGGUUGAGCCAAAAGUAGCGUUACCAUUUAAAAAUAAC